CACAUUUGCUUCAGCGGUACAGAAAGCAGCGGUGAAGCAGUGUCGUCUGUCGUGACUCACCACACUGAUUCGUGGCAAAUGCUUCAUAACACUGAAUGAACCAUUUCGACACGUUGCUUGAUAUAUAUUUACUGCUUCAGAAAGCUAAGGUUUCUCCAUCACUAGUACGACCCUAAUUUCCAAAUGUUCCACGUGACGUUGAGACGUGUUUGAUGCACGAAUUCUUCUUUGUUUGUAUGUUUGUUUUCUUUUGAUGCACGAGUUCUUUAGAGCGUCAUCCUCCAGCCUUUGUGUCGUUGGACGUGCGUGCGUGCGUGCGUGACGUAGUCAAGCUUGUGUGUCUGUCACAGAGCGAAAGAGGCUUGCGUCGUAUUAAAUUCUCCUCUGAAGUUUAUCUGGCUGAUCUUCUAUCUGGACCUGAGAGAUGAAGAAGGCACAAUCGCUCCUUUUCCAAGCGUUGACCGUGCUUGGCAUUUGGGCUUCGCUUGGUGAGUUCACGUUUUUAUUUGACUUCAAGGUUCACUGCAAACGUUGUUGGGACUGGAUUUGUUUCUUCAGAUCAUUAGGGGAUCAAUAUAAAAGGGCAUUUUAUUGGCCCCACCUCGGGGAAAUGUAUACUUGUCAGAUUACUAGACAUAUUAAGCAAACUGUCAGUCUCAUUUGAAACAAUGGAAACAAUACAUAAUACAUCCGCGGUUUUGAGACACUUUCUGAUCCGACUGUGAACUUUUGAAAAAAGGGUGUAGUAAAGCCUAUUUAAAACUAACGACUGACUUUAAGCAUUGAUAUACCACUCAUUUAACUCACUGACCGCCACUGACUGAAAACCUGAAACAUUCACUUCGGUUUGCCUUGGAAGGCUGCAAAUGGAUUGGACGUCUAGCACCGUCAUUGGCACAGAAACGUGAGAAUCCAUAGCCAGUCCUCCCAGUUAAGAAUAAGCGCACUUCUGUUGUUGUCAGUAGUAAGCUAAACGAACCAAAAUUAUACAUUAAUACAAAUGUAUAUAUAUAACUAUUUUAAAACUAUUAAAAUUAUUAUGAAUUAAAAAAAAAUAACACUAAAUAUUACUAUUAAAUUGUAUAAUAAUAAUUUUAAUUUAAUAAUAAUAAAUUUAAUAAAUUCAUAAUAAUUUAUUUUUUAAUUUAAUUUUAUAGUAUUAUAUAAUACUAUAUUAUUAGUAGUAGUAGUAUUACUAAAUAUAAUAACACUAAAUAUAUAAUACUAAGUAUUGACUAAUGGCAGUUAAAUACUCUUGUAGUUUAGUUUUGGUUAGUUUUAGUUUUAUACUAAAGGGUCAUAGUAUUUACCUAUGAUAUAAAUAAAUAUCUACUUUUUUUAAUUCCAUUAUAAUCUUAAUGAUUUUUUAAUCAAUAAAUUAUCAAUAAACCCAAUAGAUUUGUAUUAAUGUAUAAUUGUAUUUUUUCAUAUAUAAAUAAAAUUAACAUUAAAAAAUAAAAAAUAAAUACAUAUAUGUUACAGUUCUACAUGGACUGAGGUUUUCAAUGCAACGCUUCACAUUCCAGGUGUUUUGUUUCACAUUGCGAGAUGGAUAAUUUUGUAUGUGGUGCUUGUGUGUGUGUUUUGUCAUAAUGUAUCAAACGUAGGAAGAGAAUGUCCAAAAGACAUGUGCUUCAACACAACAGAAAACUUAGCUCCAAAACCAUUGUCUGUGAUCUCAAUUGAUCUGGAUCAUGAAUACAUAUAGGUUGAGGUGCUGGAGGGGGAGGGAUAAUUGAACUUUUAAUGACCGAAGGGAAAACAAACAACAACAAAAAACCUGCAGUUGAACACAAUCUUGAUGACUUUUACAAUUGUUGUUACAAUAUGAUUAACACCCCCCACCAACACAAACCUAUAUAAAGACAAACCGAACACUUUAAAAUGCAACUUUUUUUCACCUCGACCUAUAACCUUACUCACCUUGUCUUCACUGAUGCAAAAGCAUCUAUUGCACUUUCAUAUGACAGUUGUUUUGGAAGGGCACUUCUUUCCUGGACUUGGUGGGCUUGGACUUGGUGCUGAUGUGGAUAAGUUCGCUGUAAAAUGACACAUUUCAAAGACAACCCUAUGCUGAGAGCUACAAACUCUUUUGUGAACAAGUGAUCCGUCAAAGGAUUAUCGUUGACAAAGAAGUGCUCAGAAUGGACAAGCCAAGAAGGUUGUUCGUGAACAUCGUGAAGAACCAUGAGGAUCUUGAUGCUUCAGACUACAGGCGGGAUAUGCUGAAAAGAAGAUUGAAGUGUGAUUUCCCCCAAUUAGUUUUUUAUGGGGAGAGAUUUGUCUCAAAAAUAUUCUCACAAAUGCUUUCGCGAUUCACACAUAUCUUUUGUAGAUGCACAAAUAUAUCAGAGAUUUUCACAUGUAUUUUCGAGAUCCACAAAUAUAUCCAUGAGUUUCACAUGUGUUUUUGUAAUUCACAAGUAUAUCCUCGAAAUUCACAUGUGUUUUUUUUAUGUAGUGCGUGCACUCAUCAUGAAUUAUUGUUUGUAAGCAUUCGAAUUGUAUAUGGGAAUCAGCGGCCGAGUGCAUUUAUUUUUGAGACAAACAUAACAAGAAACGGUCAAAUUUUCUCACACAAGCGCAUUCGCGAUUCACACUUGUGUUUUUCGAAUUCACAAAUACAUCCGCGAUUCUCACAAAUACAUUAGUGAUUUUCACACGUGUUUUUCAGAUCCACAAAUACGUCCGCGUUUUCCUCGUGUGUUUUUUAAAUCCACAAAUACUUCCGCAAAUGUCGCAUGUUUUUUUUAAUGAUGUGCGCGCAAUUAUCAUGACUUGACAUUUUUUAAGCAUUCAGUUUUGCUUGUGAAUUGCUGGAGCUGUGUUUUUUUUGUUUUUGUUUUUUUUUUUAAACAGCGAACACGCGCAUUUCUUUUUGAGACAAACGUCACUCGAUGUUUCACCAAGAUUUUCUCACACACAGUAAACCAAGAAUUUUCACGUGUCUCAAAUAACCUCCGCCUCAGUCCGAUAGGCGGCAGUAUUGAGCGCAUAGAAAGGUCAAAAGUGCCCAUCAACACAGAUGGCAAAUGGUGUUCUACUUAUGUAGCGCUUUUCCACCUUUCAAGGCGCUCAAAGCGCUUUACACUACAUCGCCAUCUACAUACAGGUGACGCAGCACCAGGAGCAAUGUGGGGUUCAGUAUCUUGCUCAAGGAUACUUAGGCGAGUUCAUCAGGGCAGAGAAUUGCACAACCUCUGGGUUGGGGGACAACUACUCUACCGCAGAGCCACGCCAUCCCCAUCCCCAGAUCACAUACGGACACCUAGCGGGUGACAUUACACCGGGCAACAGAUAAACAGGUGUCUUGGGUCCGUUGGAAAACCUACCCUAUUCCAUUUUUUGUUUUUAUGUGUGUUAAUAAAAAAAAAAAAAAAAAAAAAGAGAAAUGAAUCAUCUCCCGUUUCCCAAUUAAAAACUGCUAAUUCAAUAACGGAAACGAGACUUAAUCCAUUUUACCAAUUAAUGGUUUUGAGCUGAAGUCGAAAAACAAAAUAUGUCCAAUAUUUGUUUUUAUUAACAACAAAAAAAAAAAAACAACAGCACAAAUAUGCCAGGGGGUUAUAAACAUUUCAAACAUUGCACAUCAGGAAAAUAACAAAACAAAACAAAAACAAAAAAACGAUGAAUAAUGCUGUGAGCAAUUAUUCACAAAGAGAUUCAAGUUUUUCCACAAAUAUUGUUAUUUUCCGCUUUUAGAUUAUUUGAUUUUUUAAACAGAUUUAUGUAGCACACAGUCUCGUUAUGAAAGUGAGAAAAAGAAGGUAACAGCUUGCUAAAUUUACAUUUGUGUAGGUAGAAUUUCGACAAAAUGACAAGAUUAAUAAUAGAAACAAUCUCUUUCUUGAGAUUCUUAUAGAAACAAAAACAAAAAAGACAUUUUCCCAUUUGAGUUUGAAGUCCACAUGUGUAGGCUCCUGAUUCUGAACUUGCAAAGUUCUUUCCAAAAUUUAUUGGAAAAAGAGCAGGUCCAAAAAAGGUGCUGAACUGUCUCUGUAUCAAUGUCCCACUUUAAUUUUUUUCAUGUAGUGGUUUGCAGGAUAGUACUUAUCUAUAGAUAAUUUUGAAAGCGACUUCUUUGACCUUACUUGUCAACCGAAACAUAUUGGGGAUAGUCCAUACUUAGGCGUGGACCAAAUGAUAUCUCCAAAAAGACUUAACAUAUGCUUUGGAUCUAAUCUCGUUCUGAAAUAGAGAUCGAGUAUAUCUAUUCAAAUUUUUGUUAUGUAGUAAACAUAAUUUCCCCACACUUGAAUUUAGUAUAUUUGGAGGAGAUAAAGUUUGAAAUGGCAUGUUUACAUUUCUGCACAGCAUAAUGAAUCCUGAAGGAAUCGCAUCAUCAACACUAGCAUAUUGCUUAGGUCUAACUGGUAACUGAAAAUAAUCCCAAAACUCCGCGUAAAACAUAGGUGACAUUAAAAAGUUGUGACACAAAAAGUGUCUUCUGCCUCUAAUUGUCCAAAAAUAAAGAUUUGUUUUUGCAAAGAAUUCAAUGAGCCAUGACCCGGAAGACGAGGCCUUAUUGAAGAAAAACAUCGUUUUCCGGUUCAAGGCUCAUUGUAAAAGCGAACUCGGAGGAAAACAAAUAUUGGUCGUAUUUUGUUUUUCGACUUCAGUUCAAUAAAUUGACAUUGUAAAAACGGAUUAAGGUUCGUUUUUCGUUUUUUAUUUUCCAAAAUUAGAAGGAAAAACAAACGGCCUCAAGGUACACGGACAGUCUUGAUAGUUCUUGAAGUUUGGGAAUCAUACUUUUAUAGUCUAUGCGCUCAAAACUGCCACCUAUCAGAUGAAGGCGGAGGUUAUUUGAGACACGUGAAAAUUCUCGGCUUACUGUGUGUGAGAAAAUCUUGGUGAAACAUCGAGUGACGUUUGUCUCAAAAAGAAAUGCGCGUGUUUGCUGUUAAAGAACACAGCUCCAGCAAUUCACAAGCAAAAUUGAAUACUUAAAAAAUGUCAAGUCAUGAUAAUUGCACGCACAUCAUUAAAAAACAUGCGAAACUUGCGGAAGUAUUUGUGGAUUUGAAAAACACUUGUGGAAAACGCGGACGUAUUUGUGGAUCUGAAAAACGCGUGUGAAAAUCACUCAUGUAUUUGUGAGAAUCGCGGAUGUAUUUGUGAAUUUGAAAAACACGUGUGAAUCGCCAAUGCACUUGUUCUUGUUAUGUUUGUCUCAAAAAUAAAUGCACGCGGCCGCUGAUUCACAAAUACAAUUCGAAUGUUUGCAAACAAUAAUUCAUGAUGAGUGCACGCACAACAUUAAAAAACACAUGUGAAUUUCGAGGAUAUAUUAGUGGAUUACAAAAACACAUGUGAAACUCAUGGAUAUAUUUGUGGAUCUCGAAAAUACAUGUGAAAAUCUUGGAUAUAUUUGUGCAUCGACAAAAGAUAUGUGUAAAUCGCGAAAGUAUUUGUGAGAAUAUUUUUGAGACAAAUCUCUCCCCAUAGUUUUUCACACCCCUUUCCAGCGCAACAUGUCUGAAAUGUUUUUUUUGUUGGAGACUUUAUCAUCAACAGACAAAACUUUUAGACAGGAUACCUCAGUCAUCAGGUACAUCAGCUACCGACUCUACUGAGAACAAAGAAGGACACUUUACAGUGCAGGGCUGCUAUUGAGGACCAUUCUAAGCGAAUCACCCUCACUGAAAUGCCCAUGGCCUCCCACAGCAGAAGAUUUAAAUGUAUGUGAAGCGAAAGCUGUUGUGCCUGUUGAACAGUACAAUCGAUUGGUGCAACAGAAGAACCAACACUAGCCGGCAAAAGGGCAAACUACGAGGCAGCAGUAAUGCGACAUUGUCUGACUGGUAUGAUGUGUGCCCCUUCACCAAUUGGCAAUGGAUGGGACAUUGAGGAUGGUGAAUUAACAGUAAAAUGGAUGACUAGAAAUCCUGCCCCAGAUAGUGUGCUACAGGUAAUCCACUGUGGUUGCAAGAUAAGCAAGUGUGAGACUGAAAGAUGUUCAUGCUUGUCUGCAAAAAUGUCCUGUACAGAUUUAUGCCACUGCCAGGACUGUGAAAAUAUUUCAAAGGAAAUGGGAUAAUGACACUGAUGAUACUGAUAUUGAUGAGUAAUCACCCACCAUCUCUCCUAUGUUUAGUUUCAUUAUCAAAAUGUUACUCUCCAUUUUAACACCUUUAAAACAACAACAAAAAAAGGCUCUUUUCCCUUUUCCAAAAAAAUAGACCUUUGUUCAAUUUGACUGCCAAAAAAGAUGGAUGUUCCAAUGAAGUGCUAUUGUUUUAUUGAGAGUGCACAUUUCAUAUAUGUG